rnacentral:rRNA from 1 species
GGAAGGGRUGUAUUUAUUAGAUAAAAAACCAAUGCCCUUCGGGGCUCCUUGGUGAUUCAUAAUAACUUAACGAAUCGCAUGGCCUUGUGCCGGCGAUGGUUCAUUCAAAUUUCUGCCCUAUCAACUUUCGAUGGUAUGGUCUUGGCUUACCAUGGUUUCAACGGGUAACGGGGAAUUAGGGUUCUAUUCCGGAGAGGGAGCCUGAGAAACGGCUACCACAUCCAAGGAAGGCAGCAGGCGCGCAAAUUACCCAAUCCCGACACGGGGAGGUAGUGACAAUAAAUACUGAUACAGGGCUCUUUUGGGUCUUGUAAUUGGAAUGAGUACAAUUUAAAUCCCUUAACGAGGAACAAUUGGAGGGCAAGUCUGGUGCCAGCAGCCGCGGUAAUUCCAGCUCCAAUAGCGUAUAUUAAAGUUGUUGCAGUUAAAAAGCUCGUAGUUGAACCUUGGGCCUGGUUGGCCGGUCCGCCUCACCGCGUGCACUGGUCCGACCGGGUCUUUCCUUCUGAGGAGCCGCAUGCCCUUCACUGGGUGUGUCGGGGAACCAGGAUUUUAC